rnacentral:rRNA from 1 species
AUGGAUGUUUCUCUUCGGUAUAAGACUGAAAAUUUUAUUGACGUCAGUAUUGGAAAUGAACAUGAAGCAGUUUGGAGGUUUACUGGUAUGUAUGGAGAACCAAGAUGGCAAAACAAGCACUUGACUUGGCAGCGGCUAAGAGAUUUACAUGCUAUUGCCAAUAUGCCGUGGUUAGUUAUGGGACAUCUGUAUGGAAUACUCUACCCAUUUGAGAAAGAUAGUGGGAACCCGAGACCACCAGACUAUAUGCAAGCCUUUAGAGCCGCUCUAGAGGAAUGUAAGAGGCAAAAACAAUGGAACUUUAGCUUUAGUUAUACCUUCUUAUCAACCUCCCUGUAG